UUCACAUAUAUGGAUGAGAGGUAGGAAGGGACGAACUGGGAACUCAAUGUUGUUUCCCGAAAGCAGCAGCAACCUUGCACCCAGAAAUAGUACCGCGUUGUGGUCUACAAGGCAGUGACAUCAUCAGCACACUCUCAGUCUGGCCUCAGCUGCGGGUCUUCAGACGUCACCUCCAUCUUCUUUGCAACAACAUCGUACAUAUCUGCACCAGAAUCAAACCACCUCCUUCCUCCCAGUGCCGUCCAGCCUGCCCUCCAGGCCUUUCAGCCACAGGUCCUGCCACCCGCCUGCAUCCCGCCAACCUCCAUAGUGGUUCCCAUACUGCCGGUCUACCUCCUGCCACAGCAGAUAAACUGACGCGCCUCGUGCGCCUAUACAUGGUCCAGAAGCUGUUCCACUGUCGCAUCUGCAUGCGCAACUUCAACUGCAGCGACCACCUGACCACGCAUAUUAGCACACACACUGAUGCCGCCAAGAUCCUCCGGUGUGGAGGGUAGCAGGUGUUCCUCAUUUUCAUCAACCUGGAGGAGUAUAAGAAGGUGGAGCUGUCAGCACUCCAUUGCCUGAGUGUUAACCUCUGUGGAAACCUCAAGUCCUGGUGUCAAGUCCCUGCGACCUUCAGCUCUGGCUCUAAGUCCUUAGUUUGGAACCUGCCUCAGCUUAAGUAUUCAAGCCUCAAAAGAAACCCAUUUUGGAUCAAGCUUCGGCUGACAGCUCAAUAUGGACAUCUCCAGGCAAGCGAACCCUGCUCACCCUCUACCAAUUGCUUCACCUAAUCCUCACCAGGUAACAAAAACGCACCCAAAGCAUCAGCAGGGUACUCACUGUCUUCCUGGAUAACUCACCGUUUACGCAGCAGCGUCUAUUCAGUCUUCCCAGGCUCCACAUCAUUCCUCCACUCCAACCACCUUUCAUCAAACAGUAAGCAAAGAUCGUGAUCCAGUUCCCAGUCCCAUUUGUCUCCAGAGUACUUACCUGUCCUCCUUUCCCAUACAGUGCGGUGCCUCUAGUCCCAGUUCCAGUUUAAUACCCACUACCCAUCAAA